rnacentral:rRNA from 1 species
GAUGAACGCUGGCGGCGUGCUUAACACAUGCAAGUCGAACGGACUUAAGAUGAAACCUAGUGAUUCUUAAGUUAGUGGCGGACGGGUGAGUAACGCGUGGGUAACCUGCCGUAUACCGGGGGAUAACACUUAGAAAUAGGUGCUAAUACCGCAUAAGCGCACAAAAGCGCAUGCUUUAGUGUGAAAAACUCCGGUGGUAUACGAUGGACCCGCGUCUGAUUAGCUAGUUGGCGGGGUAACGGCCCACCAAGGCGACGAUCAAUAGCCGGCCUGAGAGGGUGAACGGCCACAUUGGGACUGAGACACGGCCCAA